AUCUUGCUAAUGUUGGGGACCACAGCUCUAAGAGCAAAUAGCCUUUCAUUAAGCUUCUUUCUUCUGUUCCUCUCUGAAACAAUAUUCUUAGAAGCCGCCGAAGAAGCAGCACCGUCCGGCGAACUGGAGUCAUAAUAGCCGGAAAACGCCUCAUCCAUAGCCCAGCUAUCAAGCUCUUCAUUCUGGAGAAACAUUUUAGUUUCCCAAUAGUUUUGGUACUCAUCACCGAUGUUUUCAAUAGGUUCCAUUGAAGAAGAGCUUUAUGUUGCAGAAAGAUUGAAGUAUGCUAUUGGUUUUUCAAAAAAAAAAAAUGAAAAUAAAAGGAAAA
rnacentral:misc_RNA from 1 species